CGCCGCCUCUCCUCCCCUCCCGCGCGCCUCCUCUCCCCUCCCCUCCCCUCCCGCCUCCUCUCCUCCCACCCACAUCGCCGCCGCCGCCACCCACCGCCUCGAACCGCGCCGGAGUAGCAGCAGCAGGCCAAGGCGGCGCAGCAGCAGGCCUUGGGCGACGAGCAGCAGUGGAGGGAGGACGAGGAGCACGACGGCGGCGGCGGCGGGGAGCGGCAGCAGCAGGCCAAGGCGGCGCUGCCCUUCUCCGCCAUGUGCAUGCGGAUCUCCCGCGACUCCUACCCCAACCUCCACGCCCUCCACAACGCCUCCAACGACAGCCUCACCAACGCCGCCUACGUCAAGAUCUCCGAGGGCGACUUCGGAUACGUCCUCGACGACGUGCCCCACCUUGCUGACUACCUCCCCGUGAGCAGCCACCCCUCCCCUUCCCUGCUCCUCCUCGCUCGACCGCUCGUCGGCUCGUGGCGAUGGGUUCUGUGCGGUGCAGCUUUAGCUAGCGACUGUCAGUGGGGCGGGCGUGAGCAGCGAAAUUGUCCGGCGCGGGCGAUUACCCUUUUUUGGCGUGCAAGCCUGAGAGCCUGCAGUGUUGCUGAUUAGUCGGCCACGAUCCGCAGAUAGAGGGCAACUCUGAUGAAUACGUACUAGCAAAGCUGUGCAAAAUCUGUGAAUUUUGUUUUCGUUCCUUACUGUUGGUGCCGUCUGCUUUUAGGAAUGGGAUUGUUGAUUAGGCAUCAGGCAACUCUGAUGAAUACUAGCAAAGCUAUGGCUAUUCUGUGGAUUCAUAGUUCCAUAAGUUACUGUCGUUGGCUCUGCUUUUGGGAAUGGGAUAUUUGAUUGGGUAGAAUGGACGACAUCGAUACCGGAGAAGUAGUAAUCUGUUAGUAUCCUCCAGAAAAUCAUAGAGAAGGACGCCACGGUCUCAACAGGUGGGCAUCCAUUCUUCAGUCUGCUGAUUCUUUUGAAUUCACUGAAAUCACAUUUUGUACACGAGUUAGCUGCACUGGCCAAUGGAAGAAAAGAUAGCUAAUUGUGUAUGGAAUUCCUAAGUCUCUGUAUGUUCGUGUAGAAGGACGGCCUGCCGUCAAGUUGGACAGCAGAAUCAUAGAACUCUACAAAGUGUAUGGGUUGGUCAGCUCUUGAGCAAAUUCGCCAUAGUGACCGCCGAUGGCCUACAAGUCCAUCUCUUUCUCAAGCUCGAUUGCCUCUUAUUUUGCAGACUGAAAGGUGAGAUGAGGGGUUGUCAACAACAUCUAUGAAAUACUGGUUUGUGCCAUACUGCCCUAUUCUAAAUGGCCAUGUACAUCCUUGUAUCUUUUUCUGUGCCUUCAGUCAAAACAGACAAACAAUCUAAUGACCAAAAUAUACAAACAAUCUAUGCAAUACAGGUAUGUGCCCUGUUCUAAACAUACAAUGUCAACAAAACCAUAGGACUUGUCCCUCCCAUAGAUGCUUGUAUAAAUGUUACUCUCGCAUUUUUGUACAUGUCUAUCUAAAUUUGUCUUCUGUUAAAAGGACUCACCAGGUACCUUAAGAUCUCUAUAUUAUGGUCACACCAUAUCAAACGUUUCAGAUUGCAAUGCAUCUACUUCUUGACUGGAUCUACCAUAUUAUACUGAAAUAACUAUAAGAUGAAUUAUACCUGCUGUGAUUUUUAUUUUAUUUUUGUGAAAUAUUCUCUUCAGAUUGCCGCGCGCCACCCGCCCUUCGCAUGUGUAAUCACUCAAAGUAAACUGUCUUUUAAAUUGAAUUCAUUAUUCCAAGACACCCUGAAUAUAAUUGAGCAGAACACAAAACCAAACUCCGAGCAAGAGAUUUCAGUAGAGCUAUGAGCCUAAGUAGAAAUUGUGGAGGAAACUAGGUAAAAAAAUGUUGCACAUUGAUAUGUUUUUUUGGGUAAAUAGGCCUAUGGUAGCAUCAUUUAUAGGUAAUUAUAAACAAAAGGGCAAAAUAAGCUUUGUUGUUAUAUGCUGUUGAGUUUUUAAUGGCUAUCAAACACAGCAUCAUGCUUGUGUGUCUUCUUAUAAACACACGCCUUUGUUGUUUCUCACCGUUUUCCUUUAAAUUACGUAUAUAUGUACAUGGAAUGCUUCUCCCUGUCAAUAACUAGAUCCCCCCUUGUUUGACAGGUUAAUUAAUCCUACAUUUCAGUAUCAACCAACAUUUGUUCCUUCUUGAGCUCUCAACCCUUGUCUCAUCGAUGAUGCAGCCUGCGCAUCACUCGCUCUCAGCUAGCUAGGUAAGUACUGCAGGGACUCUGCUGCAUUUCAAUCACUUGAUGUUUGUCUACCAUGGAGUAGAGUUUAAGACCGCCCCGCAUGAUUUGAUGAUAUUCUUUUUUGAGCAUCGGCUCUGGUGCAUUCUUACUCACCACCGGGUACUUUGAAGCUAAUAAUGUUCCAGAUUGGUGGCAUUCUGUUUGAAGCAUGCUGGUUUGGUUUUGCAGCAGUUUUAACUUAAAUAGUGGUUCAGUUUUGCCUUCAAUAGUGGUUUUGCAACUAAUUAUUUGUUGAUCUAUUGGUUUGAUUGGAAACAGGUGGGGUCUUCUGUGUGAGCAGACUACCUAUAAGAAUCGUCAGCGCCUUUACCUAUCAGAGCAGGUACUAAUCUUGGUGUGAGCUCAAGGCAAUAGGCAAUUAUGAAGGUAGGCAAUCGUCAUUAGCCAGGUAGUUGUACAUGGUCUGGUCUCUUAGCAUAAUCUAAAAGUAUCUAAUGCAGUACUCAAUAUUAGUAGUCAUUUGAAAAAUAUGCCAGUGUCUUGUUUGUCAUGUCCAUUCUAUUAAUCUAGAAGAAACCGAGAGCAUACACUCACACUUUCAUCGAACCCAAAUUGUUAACCUGGGAUAAGUAGAUAUCAGUCACACUUUGUUCUUACUUUUCUGGCUUUUCUAUGUUCUUACUUUUUUUGCACUUUCCUUUCAUUUCCGUAGAUGCCAGGGCUGGUUGCCUUGUGUACCAUGGUGAGAAGUAGCACCAGUAGGUCGGCUCAGUCCCAAUGGCAAUGUUCUUUGUUAUUUUUUUAUUCAACCACAUACAUUUGUCUCUUCCUGAUGGCCUUGGUAACUUGAAAAUCUGCAGUGCCAUAUUGGCUCCCUCUGCCGAGCACCAUGGAGGAGGUGAGCGGUUGUCUCUAGAAUCCUUUUUCAUCCUGUGAUACUUACUGUUCUGCCCUUGGAUGGUCAAUCUUGUUGAGUGAUAACCAGGGCAGCUCAACUGUAUAAACAGAUUGAUCUGGUGAUAAGAGAUGACGGGGGUAGGUUAUAUGAUCGAGAAAAUGCGAAUCUGAGCCCACUAUGCAUUGAACCCUGAACCCUUUUUAUUUGUAUUUAAAGGUGUUGCUUAUUUAUGCUCCAGUGUUUAUAGCCGUCUUAUGUAAAGAUUUCUUCUCUCUCAUACCUUUAUUGCAUAUAAGUUGUUCUUGAUCUUUUGAUCUUUCAAAGAUGCUUAUAUGGUAGUAUAGAAAGUUUCUGAUUAUGACACCAUAUUCAUUGAACUUGAUCUGUUAUGUGAUUUAAACUUUGCUUUUCCCAAUCACCAUGUGUUUUCCAAAAUUACUAUUAAAACAACUUUGUUCUUCCUAGAGUACCGGCAGCAACCACAUCAUGAAAGGGUCGAGGGGAAGAUGAUCUGAUAUGUGUCACUGAAAGCGAAGGUAAAAUUCCAAUACAUGACCUUCAUAUUACCUGCCAAUUCACAAGUGCAUGUUCUGUAUCAAAUAUAAAUAUAAUUGUUCCCUGUGUCGAAAGAUGGAUUCUGUAUUUUAUAGGAUUCUAGCUCUUUGACCCUUUCUGCAUGCUCUUACAUAUAUGUGCUUUCAUUAAGAAGAAAAAUCUACCAUGCUAGCUUAGUUGAUCCAGGGCUUAAGCUAUAUACCAAAAUAACACUGAGAUGAGUUCUGUCAGAAGUACCUUGAGCCUUUUUAUUUUUAUAUUCUCUUUUGUGCACUCAUUUAAUGCGACUUGGAAUCUGAAGUAGAAAAUAUCAUAAAGAGCUUGAUGACUUAUAACAUUACUUGUCACGGAAAUAAUCAAUUGUGAGUGCUUAAUAUUUUUACAGUGCGUCAUAUAAAUUACCAAAAUAUCCGUAAUUGGGAUAUUAAGGCUUAAAUGGACAAGUCCCAUAAAUAAUAAACAUACCUCAUAUACUAGUUGUCGGUAAACCAACCACUAAGAUUUUGAUUCAGUGUUUGCCUAAAGAAAUUACUCCCCCAUUUUGAUUUCAUCAUUUUUUUGAACAGCUCAAGCCAUUUUUGUCGUUGUAUGACAAGGCUGUCGAUGUCAUCACUGAGCCUCCUUCUUUUCUUCAGAGGCUUAUUGUGCUGCUAUAGUUCUCUGUCUCUUAUCCACUCGCCCAUCGUAGUGCAAAUUUGCACUUUACUUGAACUUUGUUGUGAUGAGAGAUUCAGUUUCUUUGGGCAAAAGGUCUGGCCAAACAAAUAAAUGCAUGAUAUUUAUCUUUUGGUUUCUACCAUACCAAAGCAAGGUAUUUCACGUCAUAUUUUAUAACAAAUGCGUCGAUGGCAUGCAUAUAUAGGGUCAUCUUUUUAGAUAUAUUUUACGGGGUGAUUACUACUGUGAGUAUCUACCAUCACCUACUCAGAUAUAUUUCCAUCCUGAGAUAUAUUGAGUAAUAUCAGAUGUUAAUUGAAAUAUUUAUAUCAGAGGUUUGAUCAUUGAACUUAGUUGAUUAAUACCUUGAUACAUUUCUAUCCUAAGAUAGUCCCUACAUUUCCAUCCUAAGAUACCUAUUUUUUUCUAUUACCGGGUUAGGAAAAACGGGAUUCUGUGGGAGUUGGGGUUGGGCAAGUAGCACCACUUUGAUUAAGUCCACAUCAUAAUUGAGAGGCAUUGUAGUAGUGGGUCAGUUCAUAGAUAAUGCCAUGUUUUAUAUGCAAUGCUUCAAUGGUUGUAUUACCGGGUUGGAUGAGUGCACCUGGAUACGGACAAGAGACCAACAAUAACAAACAAUUGGUCAAGAUCUGUCAAAGCGGCAGGGAUCAGAGAGUAUCAUAUAUGUCUUUUCUUUCAAAAUUGAAAAGGGGAACCAUCACUCCCUGGUUAUAAGCUUUAAAAGGCUAAGGUACAAAAAUGCAAGUGCAUUUUUUGUCUACACAUAAAUUGGUCUAUGCAAUAUAUCUAACACAUUGCCUGCAUCAGGUUAAGUGACGUGCCAUCUAUGAAGUUGAUCGAGAAGGCAGCCAAAUGAAGCAACUAAGUAGUAUGCCUAAGAAGCUAUGGCUACGUAGUUUUUAUUUAUUUAUAUUGUGUUCCUGCUCUUGGUACUUCCUCUCUCAUAUUCGCGCUCUUAGUACCGAGCUUAAUAUCAAGUGGUUACCUUUUGUGGUCU